GUGCUCACUUCAGCAGCACAUAUACUAAAAUUGGAAUAAUACAGAGAAGAUUAGCAUGGCCCCUGCACAAGGAUGACACUCAUCCUUCUCUACCUUCCU
rnacentral:snRNA from 1 species